GAUGAACGCUGGCGGCGUGCCUAACACAUGCAAGUCGAACGGAGCUGCUUUGAUGAAGUUUUCGGAUGGAUUUAAAACAGCUUAGUGGCGGACGGGUGAGUAACGCGUGGGUAACCUGCCUCACACUGGGGGAUAACAGUUAGAAAUAGCUGCUAAUACCGCAUAAGCGCACAGUUCCGCAUGGAACAGUGUGAAAAACUCCGGUGGUAUAAGAUGGACCCGCGUUGGAUUAGCUUGUUGGUGGGGUAACGGCCCACCAAGGCGACGAUCCAUAGCCGGCCUGAGAGGGUGAACGGCCACAUUGGGACUGAGACACGGCCCAGACUCCUACGGGAGGCAGCAGUGGGGAAUAUUGCACAAUGGGGGAAACCCUGAUGCAGCGACGCCGCGUGAAGGAAGAAGUAUCUCGGUAUGUAAACUUCUAUCAGCAGGGAAGAUAGUGACGGUACCUGACUAAGAAGCCCCGGCUAACUACGUG
rnacentral:rRNA from 1 species